rnacentral:rRNA from 1 species
AUACGGGGGGGGCGAGCGUUGUCCGGAAUUAUUGGGCGUAAAGGGCGCGUAGGCGGAAUAGUAAGUCAGAAGUGAAAAUCAUGGGCUCAACCCAUGACCUGCUUUUGAUACUGCUAUUCUCGAGUGCGAGAGAGGAAAGCGGAAUUCCCGGUGUAGCGGUGAAAUGCGUAGAUAUCGGGAAGAACACCGGUAGCGAAGGCGGCUUUCUGGCUCGCAACUGACGCUGAGGCGCGAAAGCGUGGGGAGCAAACAGGAUUAGAUACCCCGGUAGUCC